rnacentral:lncRNA from 1 species
AAACAUAGUCACGAGUGAGUUGAAAAAGAGAAAGUUUGAGAUUUGAGAUUUAAAGAGAAUAUGGCAUCCCAAAACCAAAGCUACGAAGCUGGUGAAACCAAGGGCCGAACUGAGGUAAAAAAUUAUCAAUAUUUAAUAUUGUUUUAGCAAUUUUUAAUUUAUAAUUAAUAUUUUAAACUGGGUCUGCAUCUAUGUAAUCUGCUAUAGGAAAAGACAAAGCAGACUGUGGGCAAUAUCGGGGAUAAGGCCCAGAAUAUGGCCCAAGCUGCGAAGGAGAAGACUAGCGACACUUCCCAAGCGGCAAAGGAGAAGGCCCAACAGAUGGGCCAGUCGACGAAGGAAUCGGCCCAAUCAGGUAAGGACAACACCCAAGGGUUCCUGCAGCAGACAGGGGAAAAGGUGAAGGGUGCGGCCCAAGGUGCUACAGAGGCCAUGAAGAAAACUCUUGGGCUGGACCGUAACGAUGAUUACAAUCGCAGACAUUAGUUACUAUGUUGUCGUGGUUUUACGCAGCAUCGCUUUUUAAAUAAGCUGCUAUUUCCACGCGCCACACUCUUGUUUCAUCCAUGUUCACUUCAAUGCUAUAUAUAUAUAUAUAUAUAUAUAUAUAUAUAUAUAUAUAUAUAGCCUUGAAUUUAUAAUAUCAUCUUAUAUUAUUAUAUGAAAAAAGAAGAGUUAAAAACAGAACAUUUUAAUUUUAUUAUCUCAAAAUCUCUGAAAUAGAAUAAUUACGAGGAUCCUUCAAGCCCCAACUUUGAACUAAGCCAAGUGCAAACUUCAUCCAUCUCUCUAGGAAUUGUGUAAUGACCAAGCCUGCACACAUCACGAACCAAAAGUACAAAACCUGAUUUAACCAAUUCAUCACCAAUUACAAGGAUGAUUUCAUCUAUGAAAAUUGCUUACCCAUCAUAGGAUUUGAAUGCAACAUAUCGAAACCCUGCUGAGCAUAAAGAUUGAGCUGAUUUUUCACCAUAUUUGUAAAGGAUCACAUCAUCACCUACAAACAGUACAAAGUUAGAAUCUUAAUCAAUGACAUUAACUUUCAGUUUUAUAGAUACAUACUGAUUCCAUGGCACAACAAAAUGGGUAAUGAAGUUGCUCGUCUUCUUGCUUCAUGUGAUACUUCUAUCUUGUUCCUUAAGCUCCUACAAGUAGCAGGUUUCAACCACAGUGUCUGUCAUGUGAAUUUAGUAUGUGGGCUAUUGCAGAUUUGUUAACAAAAUCUCAAAUGAUUGUCGGGAAUCUAAUGAGAAAACAGAGUCUCAUGUUUCGGUUAAAUGACCAAUGUCAUCAUUAACAUGACUGUAAUGAUUCAAACAAAUAGUUUACAGCAUACCUUGAUCCUGGAAGCCAACCACUAAGUCCAACCACUGUUCUUAGAUUGACAGGGUAGGGAAUGCCAUUUCCAUACCUUCCUAUGGCAAAACAAGUUGCAGAGUAUAGGGCUAUUGCUGCACCCAUGCUGAAGCCUCCAAUAGCAACUUUCACUAUCACAUAAUUCAUUGUUAAACAAAGUAAAUCUUCAGGAUAUAUGUCAAUUUCAUCUAUGCAAAAACUGGACAUGUUUAAAGUACUAAUAGAAUAGUGAUUAUUCAAUUUUCUUAACUGACAAUACUGAAAUCUAUUUGUGGGACAUUGUAGAUUUGCAAAAUUUGAUGUCUGAUUAAUUUAUAUACCAUCAGCUGGCUCUGUUGACAACAAGUUAGCAAUGUGUAUUGCUGAGGCAUCCAAACCCUCCCAAUCAUCUGGGCCAUCUUCUGAAAGUUCUCCCACAUCAAACCCUGAUUAAGAAGCCACUAAGCAAGUUAGAUUUCCUUUUUAUGACUAGAAAAAACUUAGAUUACAUAGUGCUGAUUUGAUUCAGAAGGAUUAGUGUCAGUGAAGUUUAAGUAUCUCAUACAUGCUGUGCAGGGAAAACCACCAAGUAUUGCCACAGGACGGGUGGGGGCAGUUGGACAAAUCCAUUUUAUCUGCAUCAUGUCAUAUCAUAUUGUGAGAAUAUUGGCACAAAAACAAAUUAAUUGAAGUUAAUCUCAGACUGAUUCAAUGUAUAAGAUUCUUACAUUUGGAAGUGGAAGGGAUUCCAAAAGCUGAGAUGAGCUACAAGAAACAAAGCUUAAAAUUAGAUAAGUGUGUCACUGAUAAGUAAAUAUGACACCUUACUCAGGAACCAAUGGUUUGCUUGAUAAAAUUGUCUACAAUAAAGCACUCAACCAUGCAUGGAAAAGGAAUGUCUAACACAGGAAGUUUAAAAAUUAAAACAUCACCACCGUAAAAUGACACUGUUUUGAAAUGUUCAAACUCAAUGGCAUUUUCAGUGGCCAUAGUAAACACUAUAGGGAACAUUACUGGUGGAAGUGGGGAUUCAACAAUGAAUCUUCUCAUGUGACAUGGUCAUGUGAAAAACCUGUGUCUGUCUCUGUUCUCAUGAUGUCAACCAAUGUUAAUUAUGACAUAUGACAGGAAAUAGGAAAAAACAUUUCACGUGUUGAAAUGUGUGAAAAUUCAACUUGAAAUAAUUCAUUCCCAUGUGCCACAAAUACCUUAGCUGUGAAAAAGAAAAGAAAAAGGAGAGAUUGGAGGAAGAAAAAGGUGCAAUAUUAGAAAGCAUUAAAGAUCAUGAAAGGUAAAAAGGAAAAGAGAAGUGAAUAUAGGAAAACUGGUAUGAAAGAAUGAACACCUAAUAGUUGUGACAAUGUCAGAAAGAAAGAGAGAUGGCAUUCAUACCUCAAACCAUUGUCACCAAGACCAUGCAACCAAAUUAUAGUGGCUUGGUGUUUUCCUUUGGGUCUCACAACAUAUGUCUUUCCAAACUCAAAAGUACCUCGAGUGAUUCUGCUGCCUGCAAUUGUAAGCGAGAAAACAUACUACUUAUUAACAGAUUUCAAUGACAUGUUAAGUUUGAAGAUAGUUACUAACAGAUUUCAAAACAAUAGUACAAACUCAUAGAAUCCUUUAAGUAAUGCAGGUUUACUCAACAGAUGGAUAGAACGAAAAAGGUCCUAUAAUUCAGUGAUAUGUAGCAGUCAAAGACUAAAAUUCAUCAAGGUGCAAAGAAGGAUAAAGGACUACGAAGAACAAACCAGAGCCCGUAUGAGAAUGUGCAUGACUCAUUUUAUUGUUUGAGGAAAUUGGUGAAGCACAAGCAACCCCAGCAACUACAAUGAAGAAAAUGUAGGAUGGUGAUGCCCCUUUACACCCAAAAGGGUAUGGUAGAGUUGGAAUAAAACGAGUGAAUAUGCAUUGCAAUGUGUGUGUGUGUGUGUGUAUAUAUAUAUAUAUAUAUAUAUAUAUAUAUAUAUAUAUAUAUAUAUAUAUAUAUAUAGUGACCAGUGGGUGCACCAACUAUAGAGUGAUGCUGCAACAGUCUAGAAGGGUAUCCCAUGAAAAGAUGAGGUAAAGACAGAGACAAAAUAAGGAAAUCUUUAUGAGCACAGAGAAUCAAAGCAUAGAAUAACACAAUCAAUCAUCUAUUAUGUUUGUGACAAAUGGCAAAAAUAUUAAGAUAACUGCAACCACAAAAAAAUAUUACUGAAAACAAGAAAGAAUAACCUUAGUUUGUAAAAAGAAUCUUUUAACACUUGAUGAAUCUAAAUCUUACAUUAAAUAGAAACAAGAAAGUAAAGCAUUAUAUAAUGAUGAAAGAUUCAUUAAAAUAUUAUCUUAAAGUUUUGGAUAGAGAGUGAUGUCAAUCCUUUAUAUGAUUGAACUUAGAUGUUAUUGAUGUUUGUAUAACCCACGAGUAACCUCCUCCGUCAUUGAUGAUGGAUCAGCAUUAACCUCAAAUUAAAAGUUCUUUGAAUUUUUACCCAGUCGAAGGAACUCAAGCAAAGAAUAAUCACCAAGAACAGCACUUGUGAAAGGAACUGAAGUUUCUUGGUAUUUUCUUCUUCUUUCAAGUACCCGACAUAUGAUAAUUAAGCUAUGUAACUUAACUGGUGUUUCAAAUUAGAAUUGACAAGUAAAAGUAAGUAAGCUUUUCGUUCUUACCUUUUUUUUUUUCUUGUUUUCUUGCUUGCCACUAAACAUAGUUGCUAACCCCACCUAAAGAAAAGUUUUAUUUAUCUAUACUCAUGAAAACAGGUCUAAAAGAUUAUAAGCCUUGACUUAAGCAUAAUGGUAAACAAUAAUGGUGAUGAAGCUUCUCUUUUACACAUCUAGGUGAAAAAAUAACCUCCUGAAACUUCAUUUUGUUUAGCAGACAGAUAAAUUCUUCAGAAUAAAAAAAAAAACAAAGAAGUUUAAUUCAUGAUCUUCCGCAAAAGGAAUCUUAAGAAACAUAUCAGACCUAAGCACACUCUUUAUCAAGUUUCAAUGUGAUGAAUUAUAAGCAAAAUUUUGAAUUUUGUAUAUACUUUCUUUUAUUUUGUUAGCCUAAUUUAAUCCAACAAAUUCGAUAAACCUUAUAAAAUUAACUUGUAAAAUCAUAUUUGCACUCAUUAAUAUAUUAUAAAUAUAUCUUAUUUCUAAUCGAUAUUGGAUCUUCAACACACUUCUCAUUCUGAAACAUAUACAUCUAUAGUGUGUAACUAAUUUAAUAGGAAUCUGAUGACGAAUGAUACGGUAAGUACAAUAAACAUUCAAACUUAUUAUAAUAAACUUUGGAGAAGAUUCAAAAACCAUAUCGAAAAGUGAUAAAUUUAACUCAAUUUUACAAAACCGUCUUAUGAAAUGAGGUUUACAUCUAAUUAACCUAAUUAUGUAUUGUAAAUUUAAAUUUGUCUUAUUUUUAAUUGGUUUGUGAUCUACAAUUGACUCGAAUGAAAUAUAUCUCACUCAUCAACAUAUUUUAUUGGUAUAUGAUAUGACUUUCUCGUUUCUGGAUCUCUUUAAGUAGUGCAAAUAUUUGCAGUUUUGAUUCUCAAAAGAAUAUAGUGAUAUAUAAUGAAUUGCAAAGUGAAAGGUGGAGCUAACAUACAUCAGAGGCUAAAGAAGAUAAACUUGAGGUUGACUGAGGUAGAUGACCAUGCAUAGGUUAAUGAGUACAUUCAUUGUGCACCACUAUGUGUGUCACCCUAUAAAAUCCAACUUUCAUGCAAGCUUACCUGGAAAUCUUAAAAUGCUACUUGUCCUUCCUUCUGUCCACUAUCUACUUUUGCCAUUCAUUGCUUUCAUUGAUGGAGACUUUGAACUGAGAUGAAAAAUUGAAGUUGGGAUGUCAUCAAGCUCUAGAAGAACUCGUGAAUAAUAGACUGAAUUCUUUUACCUAGUGUCAAACUUUCAUGAUAUGCGAUAAGAAAAUGUAUCUUUAAUAACUUUUUUUGACAAUGGUUUAUGUAACAGUUUGUAAUUGUUCUCUUUUAAAUAUACGAACCAAUAAAAUAAUGACACAUAAUCUAUUGUCAAAAAUUUGUUAAAAUAUCAUGGUACUAUGGAUAUUCCUUCUUCUACUGUUGAUGUAAGAGACGUUCCAAAAACUCAAGUUAGAACUAUUAUAGUUAUCCUUUAUAACAUAGGCAAGUUUCGACUUGAAAAAAGGUGAACGAAUGUCUAUAAUUCACUCAUGCACUAUUUUUGUCCUAACAAGAUCGAAUGAAAAUGUUUAACACUUUUUGUGUUUCUUUGAAAUUUGAACUUGUCUGCUUUAGUAACAGAGGUAUUCCUUAAGGAAUUCAACGAAAACUAUAUACUUUGCUUUUGCACCACUUGAUUAGAACAUGUAAAUAAUAUAAUCAAAAUGGGUUAAGAAAAUUUUCACCAAUUUACCAUCAAUCAAUGAAAAUUAGAAUUGACAUGAGAUUAUAUUCCAAUUAAACUUAUAAUUCUCAUGAGUUUGAGUUCUAGGCAUGUAACAUUGAUUAUAAAUGGGUAAGAUAGAAUUUUAGACAUAUGCUUAGAUCUUUCAAAGGGAAAAUUUUUGUUGUGUUAGAAAUUUAAAUUGAGUUGAAGAUAUCAUAUUGAUUAUAAAUGAGCAUGAUAAACAAUAUAUAAUUAUAUAUAUUCAUAAAUUUAUUAUCUUGAAAUUUUGAAUUCAAUAUAAUUUUUUAAUAUCUUAUUUAAGUUUAUUUAUUAUCAAAUUUAUUUUAUAUCUCUUUUAAUACUACUUAUAAUUGUUAUUUUGUAUAUUAGAUUUCGAUUUUACAAUCGAAGUAUAUAAAAAUAAGAUAAAAAUAAGAUAAAGAAAGAUAAGAUUUUGGUUUCAAUUAUAAACCAAAAUAUAAAGAUCAUUAUUUUGAUUCAAUUAAUUAAGAAUCAAAAUAUUAAACUAUAAAUAAAUAAUACAAAAUAAAAAAAUAUGAAUUUGAUUUCGAUUACGAGCAUAAUUAAAGUUAAAUUCUUGUUAUGCUUCGAUUAUCAAUAUAAAUGAAACUUAAUGUGAUUUUUUUUAAAUAUUUUUUAUUAAAUAAUAUUUGGUUUUUAGUUAUAAUCGAAGUUUAAUGUAGACAUUUUUUUAAUUUCUUUUUGUUUUUUUAUAUGUUAAAUUUGCAUAAAAUAUCCAGAAAAAAAUAGAACAACAUAUUAUAUUCAUCACACUUAAAAUAACUCAGAAUCUAGAUAUAAGUUAGUGUGUCAAAGGAUAUCUUUACAUUUGUGCCGAUAUGAUAUUUUUAACAAGUAAAUAUUAACAUUUUUAUUAAAUAUUUUGCACAAACUAUUUUUAAAUAAUUAAUAGACUUAUCGAGAAUUGGUGAAAAAUUUUGAAUUUUUAUAUAACAGACAAUAAUUUUAAUUAGUAUAUAAAAAAACAAAGUUGACAAAUAUUUGAUUCAAUAUAAUUAUUUUUAUUUUUUAACUAAUUGUAAUACGAGUAUGAAUAAUAGUUGUCAUCAUUUAUUACAUUACAUAAUAACAAGAGACAUUUGAGCGAGUUUGUUUAUUCACAUCACAAUAUAUCAACACAAUAAUAAAUAAUCAAAAAGUGAAAUAAAUCAAACAAUUAUAAAUAUAUAAACUGAAAUACUAAACCUUUAGAGAUAACUAAGCAAGGUUUUUAACUUAGUAGUUGAUUUUCUAGAUAAUACGAUAUGUUCUACAUAAAAAAAAUGUUUUAAAAUACACUCAUAUAAAAAAAAUAUAAUAUUAAAAUUCUUACCAAUUUGUUGCAUAAAAACUAUUUAAAUCUAAACAUAAAUAACAUAUAAAUUUAAAUAAGUUGUAAGGUGACAAAUGCUAAUUAGUUGACCCCAUAAAGAUUGAGCAUCUAAUAUCCCUCCAAGUUAAAAAAAAAAUGUUGAAUUUUUCCUCAUCUAAGGAUUUAGAUUACUUUCCAUUUCGUCAACUCUUUACAAACCUCGCAAUCAAAUACAGAAAGAGAAAUAGUUGAAAAUUUCAUUUUAAAAAAAUAAUAAGAAUAAUACUAAGAGGAGACAAUAUAUGGUGUUGGCACUACCUUCUUAUUGGAGAUUAAAGUACUGUUUGGUGAGUGUGAUCUUUAAGAUUGGGAGGCUCAAAAUAAGCAAAGCUUUUCAGUAAAGGGAACAUAAUUGAGUACCCAAUUGAAAAACUCUCUAAACUUCAAAAUCAUAAAUCUUAUAGUGCAACUCGUGUAUGACCAUUUUCAAAUAUUUUGGAGAUCCCAUUUCCAACAUAAAAGCUGGCAUGCACAUACACAAACAAAAUUCCUUUCCUUCGUAAGAAAAAAAAAACCUUUUUUUCCAAAGGCUAUGAUUAGUACAAUUUUAACGAUAUCUUAACAUCAUCUACAUGUCAUUCUGUGUUUGGUCUAUAUUGAUAUUUACGAUUAUUAUUAUUACUAUUAAUUAUGAAGUAAUUUUGGAUUAAUCACAUAAUGAAUAUAAAUGAUCUGGAAAUGUUGUCAAAUAUUGUUGAAGAAUCGUUAUCGUUACGGAAAAUAAAAUUUUUCAUAUUUAAUUUUUUUUAGGUUCAUGUAGUAAUAUCUUUUCUUACUUUUUAUUAUCUAUUUUUUAAAAAAUAUACAAAAUUCACUUUUUUUUUUUUUAUAAUCAUUUUACUCGGUUGGUAUCUUAGUAACCUAUUUUACACACAUUUGAAUGUCUUUUCAAGAACAAGAAACUAA